UACAAAAAGAAAAAAAGAAAGAAAGAAAGAAAAAAAAGCAAAAAUCUACGUUCCCAUUAACUUUUCAAAAGGGAAAUUGCCAAAUCUUUUCAAUAGUUCACCACAGGAGUUGAGCAACUCUCAAGAUCGUCUUAAGCAAAAGUUUACUCGACGCUGGGGACCCGCCGCCAGAGCUCGCAGCCAGUUUUCUGCCUGUGGCUGCACGGUGGCCCGUGUUAACCAAGGCCGGCUUCCGGGCUCGGAGACCCCACUCUCCAGUCCCCAGGACGACUCCUCUGAGUUGAAAUACUCUGCGGCGAGACUGCCAACCCGCUGCUUCCUGCUCAGGGUUUCUGUGACUGCGUAAGCUCUGAACCCAGCGUGGACGUUUCAAGAAGGUCCAGGUGUUAUUAUGAACACUGCUAUGUCUAUUACCGAUGUGUGGCAAAUAAAUAUCAAAAGCGAA